rnacentral:misc_RNA from 1 species
CCAACAAAGAUAACGACUUUCAUUUUCAUGUUCAUGA